CUCCUAAGCACCUAGUGCGAGCGACCAGCCCUACGAGUGACCUCUAGCACGCUUCACACCUAGCAACGCUAAAGUGCUACUGCCAACACACUCACGGCUGAAUCAAAUCCGUACUCUACGAGCACCUAUGCGCUCGAGCGCUCUAUAUGUCUCUAUUGCGUGUCAUACUAAGCCCAGCAUCAGGCAACUUUUGCCUAUGCACACCGACUACACGAGCACGACCCACCUACCUCAAUUCGAGGUACUACUAGGUCCACGUGCACGUACCUGACCACUAACCGAUCAUUUCCUCAACAGUGAUUCUAUUUUUACUGUUCGAUCUACCGGAACAAUCUGCAAAACGCUCGGUCUCACAAGAGUUUCACGAACAUCGCGACUAGACUCUCGCAAUCAGCAACUCGCAUUAGUGUUGAGAGUUGGUCAACCAUUACCAUCUCUACCAUGAGUCUCACCUCUUAUCCACAGGCUAUCACCAGCGAUUUGCUAGAGCCCUCAGACUCUCUACCUGUUCCAGCAGGUAUUACAUUCCCCCACACAAGCAUACUCGGGUAUCAACACUUAUCUGUUCACUUGAUCACUACUAUAUUAAGGCAUAAAUAGUAGGGACAAUCACCUAAUCAAUGCAUGCAAUGC
rnacentral:lncRNA from 1 species